CGGAGGGGCUAGCGUUGUUCGGAAAUACUGGGGCGUAAAGCGCACGUAGGCGGCUCAGCAAGUCAGAGGUGAAAUCCCAGGGCUCAACCCUGGAACUGCCUUUGAAACUGCUAGGCUAGAAUCUUGGAGAGGUCAGUGGAAUUCCGAGUGUAGAGGUGAAAUUCGUAGAUAUUCGGAAGAACACCAGUGGCGAAGGCGACUGACUGGACAAGUAUUGACGCUGAGGUGCGAAAGCGUGGGGGAGCAAACAGGAUU
rnacentral:rRNA from 1 species